rnacentral:rRNA from 1 species
GAUGAACGCUGGCGGCGUGCCUAAUACAUGCAAGUCGAGCGAACAGACGAGGAGCUUGCUCCUCUGACGUUAGCGGCGGACGGGUGAGUAACACGUGGAUAACCUACCUAUAAGACGGGGAUAACUUCGGGAAACCGGAGCUAAUACCGGAUAAUAUAUUGAACCGCAUGGUUCAAUAGUGAAAGACGGUUUUGCUGUCACUUAUAGAUGGAUCCGCGCCGCAUUAGCUAGUUGGUAAGGUAACGGCUUACCAAGGCAACGAUGCGUAGCCGACCUGAGAGGGUGGUCGCCCACACUGGAACGGAGACACGGUCCAUACUCCUACGGGAGGCCGCAGUCGGGAAUCUUCCGCAAUGGUCGAAAGCCUGACGGAGCAACGCCGCGUGAGUGAUGAAGGUCUUCGGAUCGUAAAACUCUGUUAUUAGGGAAGAACAAAUGUGUAAGUAACUAUGCCCGUCUUGACGGUACCUAAUCAGAAAGCCACGGCUAACUACGUG